UAAGGAAUAUUGGUCAAUGGGCGAAAGCCUGAACCAGCCAUGCCGCGUGAGGGAUGAAGGUUCUCUGAAUUGUAAACCUCUUUUAUUUGGGAAUAAAUGCCUGAUUUCUAUCGGGUUUGAAGGUACCAGAUGAAUAAGCACCGGCUAACUCCGUGCCAGCAGCCGCGGUAAUACGGAGGGUGCAAGCGUUAUCCGGAUUUACUGGGUUUAAAGGGUGCGUAGGUGGAUUGGGAAGUCAGUGGUGAAAUACUACAGCGCAACUGUGGAACUGCCAUUGAUACUAUCAAUCUUGAAUACAGUGGAGGCAGGCGGAAUGUGUCAUGUAGCGGUGAAAUGCUUAGAUAUGACACAGAACACCUAUUGCGAAGGCAGCUUGCUACACUGUCAUUGACACUGAGGCACGAAAGCGUGGGGAUCAAACAG
rnacentral:rRNA from 1 species